UACGUAGGGUGCAAGCGUUGUCCGGAAUUAUUGGGCGUAAAGAGCUCGUAGGCGGUUUGUCGCGUCGACUGUGAAAACCUACAGCUUAACUGUGGGCUUGCAGUCGAUACGGGCAGACUUGAGUUCGGUAGGGGAGACUGGAAUUCCUGGUGUAGCGGUGAAAUGCGCAGAUAUCGGGAAGAACACCCGUGGCGAAGGCGGCUCUCUGGGACGGUACUGACGCUGAGACGCGAAAGCGUGGGGAGCGAACAGG
rnacentral:rRNA from 1 species